UACGGUAGGGGGCAAGCGUUGUCCGGAAUCAUUGGGCGUAAAGAGCGUGUAGGCGGCCAGAAAAGUCCGCUGUGAAAACUCGAGGCUCAACUUCGAGCUGUCGGUGGAAACUUUCUGGCUAGAGUACUGCAGGGGAGACUGGAAUUCCUGGUGUAGCGGUGGAAUGCGCAGAUAUCAGGAGGAACACCGGUGGCGAAGGCGGGUCUCUGGGCAGUAACUGACGCUGAGAAGCGAAAGCGUGGGGAGCGAACAGG
rnacentral:rRNA from 1 species